AUCUUCUCGUACACACCACCAAUUCUUUGUUUUAUUAUACUCUGUUUUAUCUAAAACCAAAAAGGAACGAAUCAGUGUCGGCUCUUGGUUCUAAAACCAAAAAGGUACAGACCUGAAUACACACCCAAAAACGGUUCGGUUAUACGUUGGAUCCAAAACGCGCGUUUUACAAAGCUUUACUACUCCGUGACUCCUCCUCCUCCCGCCAUUUGCUUGGAAACUCUUCUUCGGGCAAUGUGCUGAAACUGAGUCAACGUCCGAGUAAACGAAGUGAAACUUUUUUUUUUUGAAAAAAAAAACGAAGUGAAACUUGGUGGUUUAGACUAAUCGAAGUGAAAGAAACCGCGUUUCCAAAAUGUUCAACUUCAAGCAAUGGUUGGUUCUUGUGGUAUGCUCAUUAGCAAUCUUGAAAGCAGAAGGAUUGCUCGUCAAUAUUACAUUUGUUCGAAACGCCGUCGCAAAAGGAGCCGGUGAGUUUAUCUUAUAACAUAAAGAAGAACACUACUCUCUUCUCCUCUUGCCACGUCAAUAAAUAAGGUGAGGAGGCGCUGACACGUGUUCCCUUUAUUAACUUUGCGUUUUAUUUAAUCUGUUCAGGAUUCGGUCGGGUUUUAGUUUUGUUGGGCCGUGUCUUUUCUUAGUCCAGCCCAUAUCAUUCUAAAGAAACGGUAUAUGUAAUUAAACGUUGCGUUUGGUUUAGGGUUUGUGUUGUGUCCAUCUUUGCAUCUCUAUUCCCUAAUCAGGCAGCCGAAUCUUUCAUCUUCUUCCGGUACGAGAUGCUACCAGUAACCGAUUUCCUCUCAUAAAGCCCUCCAUUAGUCGACCACACAUGAUCUAUAUUCAAUGCAAUCCUUGAGACUGCAAGACGGUGGACGUUCUACUAUAAAAAGAGCUCUCCACGAUUCAUUUUCAAGGCUUGGCUCAGAUGUGAAAGGCGGUCUGUAAACAUUCUAAAUAGAUAGCAUGAGGUUAAUGUGAGACGAUAGCAGCGUUGUGUUUCACAGCGGCCAUUGAUGCGGUGGACGGACAAUUCGGUUAAGGCAGAGCCUUCUUCUUAGGCUGGAGAGGUGAUGAAUCAGAUGAUGGAGGCAUGGUAACAAGUCCCAGAUUUACCAGAGGAGGCUUCUCCACCAGGAUAAAGGGGUGACAUGCUCUUGAUUGAUGUAAAGGUUAGCCUCCUCAUCUUCCUUCCCUCGCAAUUCUUUUCGGUUUCGGAUUACUUAAGAGCAAUUCUGACAUUUUGAACUUCAUUAAGUUAAUUGGACUAGAUCUGAGUUUUUUUUUAUAUUUCUUGGUAAAAUCAUCUACCCAUGUUUCGUUUUCUCAUUUGUGCAUCUAUUUAGUGACAAAGUAAUUAAAGCUUCAAAAUACACUUUUCAAUGUAAUGAGAUUAGAAAGGCAGGAUAUUGGUGACCAUAGUUAAUAUAGAAAUCUCUAUCUUUUGAUUGGUGCAAUUUCUUCAGCCUACUUCCAAAUUAAUGUUUUCACCACCAAAGAAAUACAUCUGAGCAAUUUAGCUAGAAUAUGAUGUAAUUUUUGUUUUAUUCUGGAAUCUUUAUGGGUUAUUAAAAGGAAGUUUGAUCAUGUAUGACAUACUUCAUAUAUGCUACUCAGCUUCUGCUCAAUCCGCACAGAUUCAGUGCUUAAUGCUUGCAGAUUACUUGAUGUUAAAAGACGUUUCCAAAGAGUGUUCUCAGAAGUAGCUGAGAGACGAAGCUAUAAGAAUCUAGCGUGAGUAAACCGCAUUUGUUGCAGUCUGGGAAAGACACAAAAAUGUGAGCUCCAGAAACAUCUUGGAGAGGUUUCUCCAAAGAACUUUGCGCCAAUGAAUAGGCUACUGGGGUGAAAGACGGAGAGAUUGCAAAUCUAAAAGAUGAGGAUAAGGUUGAUCAGUUGAUGUUGGCUCACUGACUAACUAGAGACUAAGGAACUUGAAUCUCGGUGCGGCAUCCAUUCUUUGUUUUUAUGUAUUAUUGAGUUCUGUUAUUGUUGGGAAGUUUAUGUCCUUGCCUUACAAAUGACCAUUGUUCCACCUGUAGAAAAAUUAGUUGGAGAAACAAAGAUUUUCUAAAGCUACAAUUUCAAAGCUCUUUGGCUAAUUUAUAAUGUUAAGUUGAGAAACAGGUCCGUAAAACGAGCACUUCAAACUGCACCGUCUGAUUUUAUUCUAGGGUGGGGAAGUAAUUGUGUUUAGUGACUUCUCUGCUGAGAAAUCCAAAUAUCAGAGGUAACAACAAUCAAUAUGACAAACAUGAUUUAGAAAUUCUAUGUUAAGUCAACCGUGUAAAACGCAAGCAUUAUGAUGACUUGGCUGUUUAAAUUAAUUUGAAUGAAAUACAUCUUACAUAAAAUAUGAACUUCUGUUAGAAUUGUGAGAAAGUUAAAGGAUAAAACUUAUUAAACCAAGCUUAGUUAUGUCUUUUAGUUUUUUUUGCAGAUAUAUAUCUUCAUUGUGUUCAUGGUCAGCCACAAUCAAUAAAGUGAGAAAUAACAUUUUUACCGAAGGAGCCCAAACUUACUCUCUUCUUUCAUUCUCUCUUACAGGGUUACAGUAUUUAGUGGCAAUAAACCAACCCUGUAAUAAAUCAGGUAAAUGGUGACCAUAUUUAUAUAAUCUCUCUGUCACCUCCGUUGUUGUAUAUUUUUCUCAAGAGUUAUUAUGUUGUCUUUAACCAGGUGUAUUACGAGUAGUUGUUGAUCUCUCUCCAAGUUAUGAGCUUCCUGCUGGUUUUGAGGUAUGUCGUUAUCACAUUUCAGGUUGAGCCCAAAGUUGAAGCUGAAUCAUGGUUUGUAAUGUCUGGUUUUAUCUUAUAACAUAAAGAAGAACACUACUCUCUUCUCCUCUUGCCACGUCAAUAAAUAAGGUGAGGAGGCGCUGACACGUGUUCCCUUUAUUAACUUUGCGUUUUAUUUAAUCUGUUCAGGAUUCGGUCGGGUUUUAGUUUUGUUGGGCCGUGUCUUUUCUUAGUCCAGCCCAUAUCAUUCUAAAGAAACGGUAUAUGUAAUUAAACGUUGCGUUUGGUUUAGGGUUUGUGUUGUGUCCAUCUUUGCAUCUCUAUUCCCUAAUCAGGCAGCCGAAUCUUUCAUCUUCUUCCGGUACGAGAUGCUACCAGUAACCGAUUUCCUCUCAUAAAGCCCUCCAUUAGUCGACCACACAUGAUCUAUAUUCAAUGCAAUCCUUGAGACUGCAAGACGGUGGACGUUCUACUAUAAAAAGAGGUAUGAGUUCCUGCUUUUAGAAUCAUCAUUCGUUCUAAACUAAACAGUAAACAAAAAGUGUGAGUUAUGGCUGCCGUCUUGAUUCCAUAUUAUAAUUAUUCAUUGUGUUUUGGAGUUUCUGUUGUAUACUUUUUUGCUGAGCCUUUUUCCAGCUUUUGAUGAUUGAUAAAUGUUUUUUAAUCUUCAUAUUUUACGACUGAGUAAUUUCUCCGGUUCUGACUAUUCAUUGAUGUUUAGAUAUGUUUCACCAUGCUGGAUCCAUAUUACAAACUUCUUUGGUAACUAUUUUUUUUUAAUGGCUGCCUGAUAAAUCGAAUUGAUUCAGCUCUCCACGAUUCAUUUUCAAGGCUUGGCUCAGAUGUGAAAGGCGGUCUGUAAACAUUCUAAAUAGAUGUGAGUAUUGCUUUUCUUGAACUCAUCUUCUCUUUGUAUCUCUUAAAUCUAUCUUAGAUUAGUCUACCUCCUUUUGCUUGCGCAUUCAUGAAGCUGUUCGCGGAGACGCUUUUUUACAGAGCAUGAGGUUAAUGUGAGACGAUAGCAGCGUUGUGUUUCACAGCGGCCAUUGAUGCGGUGGACGGACAAUUCGGUUAAGGCAGAGCCUUCUUCUUAGGCUGGAGAGGUGAUGAAUCAGAUGAUGGAGGCAUGGUAACAAGUCCCAGAUUUACCAGAGGAGGCUUCUCCACCAGGAUAAAGGGGUGACAUGCUCUUGAUUGAUGUAAAGGUUAGCCUCCUCAUCUUCCUUCCCUCGCAAUUCUUUUCGGUUUCGGAUUACUUAAGAGCAAUUCUGACAUUUUGAACUUCAUUAAGUUAAUUGGACUAGAUCUGAGUUUUUUUUUAUAUUUCUUGGUAAAAUCAUCUACCCAUGUUUCGUUUUCUCAUUUGUGCAUCUAUUUAGUGACAAAGUAAUUAAAGCUUCAAAAUACACUUUUCAAUGUAAUGAGAUUAGAAAGGCAGGAUAUUGGUGACCAUAGUUAAUAUAGAAAUCUCUAUCUUUUGAUUGGUGCAAUUUCUUCAGCCUACUUCCAAAUUAAUGUUUUCACCACCAAAGAAAUACAUCUGAGCAAUUUAGCUAGAAUAUGAUGUAAUUUUUGUUUUAUUCUGGAAUCUUUAUGGGUUAUUAAAAGGAAGUUUGAUCAUGUAUGACAUACUUCAUAUAUGCUACUCAGCUUCUGCUCAAUCCGCACAGAUUCAGUGCUUAAUGCUUGCAGAUUACUUGAUGUUAAAAGACGUUUCCAAAGAGUGUUCUCAGAAGUAGCUGAGAGACGAAGCUAUAAGAAUCUAGCGUGAGUAAACCGCAUUUGUUGCAGUCUGGGAAAGACACAAAAAUGUGAGCUCCAGAAACAUCUUGGAGAGGUUUCUCCAAAGAACUUUGCGCCAAUGAAUAGGCUACUGGGGUGAAAGACGGAGAGAUUGCAAAUCUAAAAGAUGAGGAUAAGGUUGAUCAGUUGAUGUUGGCUCACUGACUAACUAGAGACUAAGGAACUUGAAUCUCGGUGCGGCAUCCAUUCUUUGUUUUUAUGUAUUAUUGAGUUCUGUUAUUGUUGGGAAGUUUAUGUCCUUGCCUUACAAAUGACCAUUGUUCCACCUGUAGAAAAAUUAGUUGGAGAAACAAAGAUUUUCUAAAGCUACAAUUUCAAAGCUCUUUGGCUAAUUUAUAAUGUUAAGUUGAGAAACAGGUCCGUAAAACGAGCACUUCAAACUGCACCGUCUGAUUUUAUUCUAGGGUGGGGAAGUAAUUGUGUUUAGUGACUUCUCUGCUGAGAAAUCCAAAUAUCAGAGGUAACAACAAUCAAUAUGACAAACAUGAUUUAGAAAUUCUAUGUUAAGUCAACCGUGUAAAACGCAAGCAUUAUGAUGACUUGGCUGUUUAAAUUAAUUUGAAUGAAAUACAUCUUACAUAAAAUAUGAACUUCUGUUAGAAUUGUGAGAAAGUUAAAGGAUAAAACUUAUUAAACCAAGCUUAGUUAUGUCUUUUAGUUUUUUUUGCAGAUAUAUAUCUUCAUUGUGUUCAUGGUCAGCCACAAUCAAUAAAGUGAGAAAUAACAUUUUUACCGAAGGAGCCCAAACUUACUCUCUUCUUUCAUUCUCUCUUACAGGGUUACAGUAUUUAGUGGCAAUAAACCAACCCUGUAAUAAAUCAGGUAAAUGGUGACCAUAUUUAUAUAAUCUCUCUGUCACCUCCGUUGUUGUAUAUUUUUCUCAAGAGUUAUUAUGUUGUCUUUAACCAGGUGUAUUACGAGUAGUUGUUGAUCUCUCUCCAAGUUAUGAGCUUCCUGCUGGUUUUGAGGUAUGUCGUUAUCACAUUUCAGGUUGAGCCCAAAGUUGAAGCUGAAUCAUGGUUUGUAAUGUCUGGUUUUAUCUUAUAACAUAAAGAAGAACACUACUCUCUUCUCCUCUUGCCACGUCAAUAAAUAAGGUGAGGAGGCGCUGACACGUGUUCCCUUUAUUAACUUUGCGUUUUAUUUAAUCUGUUCAGGAUUCGGUCGGGUUUUAGUUUUGUUGGGCCGUGUCUUUUCUUAGUCCAGCCCAUAUCAUUCUAAAGAAACGGUAUAUGUAAUUAAACGUUGCGUUUGGUUUAGGGUUUGUGUUGUGUCCAUCUUUGCAUCUCUAUUCCCUAAUCAGGCAGCCGAAUCUUUCAUCUUCUUCCGGUACGAGAUGCUACCAGUAACCGAUUUCCUCUCAUAAAGCCCUCCAUUAGUCGACCACACAUGAUCUAUAUUCAAUGCAAUCCUUGAGACUGCAAGACGGUGGACGUUCUACUAUAAAAAGAGGUAUGAGUUCCUGCUUUUAGAAUCAUCAUUCGUUCUAAACUAAACAGUAAACAAAAAGUGUGAGUUAUGGCUGCCGUCUUGAUUCCAUAUUAUAAUUAUUCAUUGUGUUUUGGAGUUUCUGUUGUAUACUUUUUUGCUGAGCCUUUUUCCAGCUUUUGAUGAUUGAUAAAUGUUUUUUAAUCUUCAUAUUUUACGACUGAGUAAUUUCUCCGGUUCUGACUAUUCAUUGAUGUUUAGAUAUGUUUCACCAUGCUGGAUCCAUAUUACAAACUUCUUUGGUAACUAUUUUUUUUUAAUGGCUGCCUGAUAAAUCGAAUUGAUUCAGCUCUCCACGAUUCAUUUUCAAGGCUUGGCUCAGAUGUGAAAGGCGGUCUGUAAACAUUCUAAAUAGAUGUGAGUAUUGCUUUUCUUGAACUCAUCUUCUCUUUGUAUCUCUUAAAUCUAUCUUAGAUUAGUCUACCUCCUUUUGCUUGCGCAUUCAUGAAGCUGUUCGCGGAGACGCUUUUUUACAGAGCAUGAGGUUAAUGUGAGACGAUAGCAGCGUUGUGUUUCACAGCGGCCAUUGAUGCGGUGGACGGACAAUUCGGUUAAGGCAGAGCCUUCUUCUUAGGCUGGAGAGGUGAUGAAUCAGAUGAUGGAGGCAUGGUAACAAGUCCCAGAUUUACCAGAGGAGGCUUCUCCACCAGGAUAAAGGGGUGACAUGCUCUUGAUUGAUGUAAAGGUUAGCCUCCUCAUCUUCCUUCCCUCGCAAUUCUUUUCGGUUUCGGAUUACUUAAGAGCAAUUCUGACAUUUUGAACUUCAUUAAGUUAAUUGGACUAGAUCUGAGUUUUUUUUUAUAUUUCUUGGUAAAAUCAUCUACCCAUGUUUCGUUUUCUCAUUUGUGCAUCUAUUUAGUGACAAAGUAAUUAAAGCUUCAAAAUACACUUUUCAAUGUAAUGAGAUUAGAAAGGCAGGAUAUUGGUGACCAUAGUUAAUAUAGAAAUCUCUAUCUUUUGAUUGGUGCAAUUUCUUCAGCCUACUUCCAAAUUAAUGUUUUCACCACCAAAGAAAUACAUCUGAGCAAUUUAGCUAGAAUAUGAUGUAAUUUUUGUUUUAUUCUGGAAUCUUUAUGGGUUAUUAAAAGGAAGUUUGAUCAUGUAUGACAUACUUCAUAUAUGCUACUCAGCUUCUGCUCAAUCCGCACAGAUUCAGUGCUUAAUGCUUGCAGAUUACUUGAUGUUAAAAGACGUUUCCAAAGAGUGUUCUCAGAAGUAGCUGAGAGACGAAGCUAUAAGAAUCUAGCGUGAGUAAACCGCAUUUGUUGCAGUCUGGGAAAGACACAAAAAUGUGAGCUCCAGAAACAUCUUGGAGAGGUUUCUCCAAAGAACUUUGCGCCAAUGAAUAGGCUACUGGGGUGAAAGACGGAGAGAUUGCAAAUCUAAAAGAUGAGGAUAAGGUUGAUCAGUUGAUGUUGGCUCACUGACUAACUAGAGACUAAGGAACUUGAAUCUCGGUGCGGCAUCCAUUCUUUGUUUUUAUGUAUUAUUGAGUUCUGUUAUUGUUGGGAAGUUUAUGUCCUUGCCUUACAAAUGACCAUUGUUCCACCUGUAGAAAAAUUAGUUGGAGAAACAAAGAUUUUCUAAAGCUACAAUUUCAAAGCUCUUUGGCUAAUUUAUAAUGUUAAGUUGAGAAACAGGUCCGUAAAACGAGCACUUCAAACUGCACCGUCUGAUUUUAUUCUAGGGUGGGGAAGUAAUUGUGUUUAGUGACUUCUCUGCUGAGAAAUCCAAAUAUCAGAGGUAACAACAAUCAAUAUGACAAACAUGAUUUAGAAAUUCUAUGUUAAGUCAACCGUGUAAAACGCAAGCAUUAUGAUGACUUGGCUGUUUAAAUUAAUUUGAAUGAAAUACAUCUUACAUAAAAUAUGAACUUCUGUUAGAAUUGUGAGAAAGUUAAAGGAUAAAACUUAUUAAACCAAGCUUAGUUAUGUCUUUUAGUUUUUUUUGCAGAUAUAUAUCUUCAUUGUGUUCAUGGUCAGCCACAAUCAAUAAAGUGAGAAAUAACAUUUUUACCGAAGGAGCCCAAACUUACUCUCUUCUUUCAUUCUCUCUUACAGGGUUACAGUAUUUAGUGGCAAUAAACCAACCCUGUAAUAAAUCAGGUAAAUGGUGACCAUAUUUAUAUAAUCUCUCUGUCACCUCCGUUGUUGUAUAUUUUUCUCAAGAGUUAUUAUGUUGUCUUUAACCAGGUGUAUUACGAGUAGUUGUUGAUCUCUCUCCAAGUUAUGAGCUUCCUGCUGGUUUUGAGGUAUGUCGUUAUCACAUUUCAGGUUGAGCCCAAAGUUGAAGCUGAAUCAUGGUUUGUAAUGUCUGGUUUUAAUGAAAACUUUGUUGUAUUGGGAGAAUGGUUAGACGGUAGUCCUAAACAGAAGAAGAGAUCGAAAGCAAAAUUUGGUAGAGAGAUUUCUUUGAAGAAGGCGUUAAGAUUAAGAAAUUUUCUCCAAACCAGCUUUCUAGAGAGAUUGAGUUAUUCACGAGGUGGUCUUAGUGAAAGGAUUGAUGUGAGGGCAUGUUUCAACCGAGUAUAAACACUGAGAGUAUUCUUUGGUUUCUAUGUUUAAUCAUCUCUUCUCCUGCUCAUGCGUAAAUCCGAUUUAUAUCAUUUUUGGAAUUCCAUACAUCUAACCGAGUUUGGUAUACAAUGUGGAAUUUCAUAAAGAUUGUAAAAAAGGUGGGUGUGGGCCGUGUGGCAACUUGGAAUCACCACUUGAUUUCGACCAGCAAUAUGUAAUCCAAACAUUUAAUUAUUACGAAUUGAAUCAAAGAUUCAGUAUUAUUUAUGUUUAAUAUUUUAAUUUACGUUUUAAUUAGGUUGAUCUUACAACAACAUUCAUAUAAAUAAAAAAACAUUUCCAUUUAUACCAAUUAUAAUAACAAACAUGAAUGACAUACCAAAUAAAAUAACAAACAUGAAUGCUUUUUUUUUUGGUAGAGCAUGACUGUUAUUAAAUAAACUAAUAUGGCUCUGAUGUCCAAAGCCAAAUAAAGCAUGAAUUAAGGACAAUAUAUAACAAGAUGUAUUAUGUGGUCAAUGACGGUUCUCACGCUCAAUAUUCUAACAUCCUACAUAACUAACUAAACAUGGCAUAGAAAUAUUGGUUCACAAAUGAUAUAACCAAUCCCCGUUGAAGUUAAAAGAAAAUAUCAAUCCAAACAUUUAUAUUUACAAAUGCUCAUUGAAAUAUAAUUCACUACAAGAAAACGUAGCAGUAACAACGGUAUUUUACGAGGAAAUUAUUUCCUCGUAAAUUUACAUAAGCUUUACAACGCAAUUACGACGCGACAUGACUUCGUCGUAAACUCGAUGGUAAUUUACGACGAAAUGUAUUCGUCGUAAAGUUAAUGUAAGUUUACGACGAAAGUACGUGGAAUGCAAAAUAGUUGUAAACGUUACAUCGACAUUACAACGAAUCAUGUUACCGUUACAUAAAGGUGAAAACGUGUAUUGAAAGUGCUUUAACUUACCUAAGUUCGUUGUAAACGCGUUGUAAAUUUUCCAUGUAAAAUCCAUGUAAAACUUACCAUAUUUCUCUAUAUAUAUGUCAUUUCCCACAACUCUCUUCCUCACAACACACAACUCUCUUCCUCACAACACACAACUCUCUUCUUCUCGAACCACCAAUUACUAUUUCGAAGAUAACGAUAACGAACAUGAGUCAUUCGUCUGUCUGCCAAUUCAGUA